rnacentral:rRNA from 1 species
ACCACGUGAUAUCCUGUCUGAAUAUGGGGGGACCAUCCUCCAAGGCUAAAUACUCCUGACUGACCGAUAGUGAACCAGUACCGUGAGGGAAAGGCGAAAAGAACCCCUGUGAGGGGAGUGAAAUAGAACCUGAAACCGUGUACGUACAAGCAGUAGGAGCACCUUCGUGGUGUGACUGCGUACCUUUUGUAUAAUGGGUCAGCGACUUAUAUUCAGUGGCAAGGUUAACCGUAUAGGGGAGCCGUAGCGAAAGCGAGUCUUAACUGGGCGCUCAGUCUCUGGAUAUAGACCCGAAACCGGGUGAUCUAGCCAUGGGCAGGUUGAAGGUUGAGUAACAUCAACUGGAGGACCGAACCGACUAAUGUUGAAAAAUUAGCGGAUGACUUGUGGCUAGGGGUGAAAGGCCAAUCAAACUCGGAGAUAGCUGGUUCUCCCCGAAAGCUAUUUAGGUAGCGCCUCGGACGAAUACUACUGGGGGUAGAGCACUGUUAAGGCUAGGGGGUCAUCCCGACUUACCAACCCUUUGCAAACUCCGAAUACCAGUAAGUACUAUCCGGGAGACACACGGCGGGUGCUAACGUCCGUCGUGGAGAGGGAAACAACCCAGACCGCCAGCUAAGGUCCCAAAGUAUUGCUAAGUGGGAAACGAUGUGGGAAGGCUCAGACAGCUAGGAUGUUGGCUUAGAAGCAGCCAUCAUUUAAAGAAAGCGUAAUAGCUCACUAGUCGAGUCGGCCUGCGCGGAAGAUGUAACGGGGCUAAGCAAUACACCGAAGCUGCGGCAAUAUCUUUUAGAUAUUGGGUAGGGGAGCGUUCUGUAAGCCGUUGAAGGUGAAUCGUAAGGUUUGCUGGAGGUAUCAGAAGUGCGAAUGCUGACAUGAGUAACGACAAAGGGGGUGAAAAACCUCCUCGCCGGAAGACCAAGGGUUCCUGUCCAACGUUAAUCGGGGCAGGGUGAGUCGACCCCUAAGGUGAGGCCGAAAGGCGUAAUCGAUGGGAAACGGGUUAAUAUUCCCGUACUUCUGACUAUUGCGAUGGGGGGACGGAGAAGGCUAGGUGGGCCAGGCGACGGUUGUCCUGGUUCAAGUGCGUAGGCUUGAGAGUUAGGUAAAUCCGGCUCUCUCUAAGGCUGAGACACGACGUCGAGCUGCUACGGCAGUGAAGUCAUUGAUGCCAUGCUUCCAGGAAAAGCCUCUAAGCUUCAGAUAGUCAGGAAUCGUACCCCAAACCGACACAGGUGGUCGGGUAGAGAAUACCAAGGCGCUUGAGAGAACUCGGGUGAAGGAACUAGGCAAAAUGGUACCGUAACUUCGGGAGAAGGUACGCUCUUGAUGGUGAAGUCCCUCGCGGAUGGAGCUGACGAGAGUCGCAGAUACCAGGUGGCUGCAACUGUUUAUUAAAAACACAGCACUGUGCAAAAUCGCAAGAUGACGUAUACGGUGUGACGCCUGCCCGGUGCCGGAAGGUUAAUUGAUGGGGUUAGCGUAAGCGAAGCUCUUGAUCGAAGCCCCGGUAAACGGCGGCCGUAACUAUAACGGUCCUAAGGUAGCGAAAUUCCUUGUCGGGUAAGUUCCGACCUGCACGAAUGGCGUAAUGAUGGCCACGCUGUCUCCACCCGAGACUCAGUGAAAUUGAAAUCGCUGUGAAGAUGCAGUGUACCCGCGGCUAGACGGAAAGACCCCGUGAACCUUUACUACAGCUUGGCACUGAACAUUGAACCUACAUGUGUAGGAUAGGUGGGAGGCUUUGAAGACGUGACGCCAGUUGCGUUGGAGCCGUCCUUGAAAUACCACCCUUGUAUGUUUGAUGUUCUAACUUAGACCCGUUAUCCGGGUUGAGGACAGUGCCUGGUGGGUAGUUUGACUGGGGCGGUCUCCUCCCAAAGAGUAACGGAGGAGCACGAAGGUGGGCUAAUCACGGUUGGACAUCGUGAGGUUAGUGCAAUGGCAUAAGCCCGCUUAACUGCGAGAAUGACGGUUCGAGCAGGUGCGAAAGCAGGUCAUAGUGAUCCGGUGGUUCUGUAUGGAAGGGCCAUCGCUCAACGGAUAAAAGGUACUCCGGGGAUAACAGGCUGAUACCGCCCAAGAGUUCAUAUCGACGGCGGUGUUUGGCACCUCGAUGUCGGCUCAUCACAUCCUGGGGCUGAAGUCGGUCCCAAGGGUAUGGCUGUUCGCCAUUUAAAGUGGUACGCGAGCUGGGUUUAGAACGUCGUGAGACAGUUCGGUCCCUAUCUGCCGUGGGCGUUGGAAGAUUGAAGGGGGCUGCUCCUAGUACGAGAGGACCGGAGUGGACGAACCUCUGGUGUUCGGGUUGUGUCGCCAGACGCAUUGCCCGGUAGCUAAGUUCGGAAUUGAUAAGCGCUGAAAGCAUCUAAGCGCGAAGCGAGCCCUGAGAUGAGUCUUCCC